rnacentral:rRNA from 1 species
GAUGAACGCUAGCGACAGGCUUAACACAUGCAAGUCGAGGGGCAGCGGGGAUGUAGCAAUACAUCCGCCGGCGACCGGCGCACGGGUGAGUAACACGUAUGCAAUCUGCCCAUGACAGGGGGAUAAUCCGGAGAAAUCCGGUCUAAUACCGCAUAACACUUCAGGAAGACAUCUUUCAGAAGUUAAAGAGCAAUCGGUCAUGGAUGAGCAUGCGGCGCAUUAGCUUGUUGGCGGGGUAACGGCCCACCAAGGCGACGAUGCGUAGGGGUUCUGAGAGGAAGGUCCCCCACACUGGUACUGAGACACGGACCAGACUCCUACGGGAGGCAGCAGUGAGGAAUAUUGGUCAAUGGGCGGGAGCCUGAACCAGCCAAGUCGCGUGAGGGAAGAAUGUCCUAUGGAUUGUAAACCUCUUUUGUCGGGGAGCAAAUCGGCCACGCGUGGCCGGAUGAGAGUACCCGAAGAAAAAGCAUCGGCUAACUCCGUGCCAGCAGCCGCGGUAA